GCCUACGGGGGGCAGCAGUGGGGGAUAUUGCACAAUGGGGGGAACCCUGAUGCAGCGACGCCGCGUGGGUGAAGAAGCGCCUCGGCGCGUAAAGCCCUGUCAGCAGGGAAGAAAGUGACGGUACCUGAAGAAGAAGCCCCGGCUAACUACGUGCCAGCAGCCGCGGUAAUACGUAGGGGGCAAGCGUUAUCCGGAUUUACUGGGUGUAAAGGGGGCGCAGACGGCGAUGCAAGCCAGGAGUGAAAGCCCGGGGCCCAACCCCGGGACUGCUCUUGGAACUGCGUGGCUGGAGUGCAGGAGGGGCC
rnacentral:rRNA from 1 species